CAUAGCUUUAAGAAUCUAUUUAAAGUAGCGUCUGCCCAGUGAAAAUUUUUAAACGGCUGUGCUUGCACAUUAAAGUAGCGUGGUAGUUUGUCUCUUAAUUGGGGACUUGUACGAAUGGCAUAACGGAAUCUAACUGUCUCUUCUCUUAAAAUUGAAAUUUAUCUAUAAGUGAAAAAUCUUAUAUACUAAUAGAAGGACGAGAAGACCCUAUAGAGUUUUAUAACAAACUUGUUUUUAAUACCAUCUAUAAAAAACAAGUUGUUAUUUUGUUGGGGCAGCGAUGGAACAUUUAAAACUCCAUAGAAAAACAUUUGCCGAUAGGCUAAAAUAAUCCUUUAAAAAGAAACAAUAAAAAUUACCUUAGGGAUAACAGCGUAAUAUCCCUUGAGAGACCUAAUCGAGUGGGAGGAUUACGACCUCGAUGUUGGACUAAGGCAUCCUUAUGGUGUAGCAGCUAUAAAAGGUAGGCCUGUUCGGCCUUUAAGCCUUACAUGAUCUGAGUUC
rnacentral:rRNA from 1 species